rnacentral:rRNA from 1 species
GGGGGCCCGCAAGCGGUGGAGCAUGUGGUUUAAUUCGAUGCAACGCGAAGAACCUUACCUACUCUUGACAUCCAGAGAAUUAGCCAGAGAUGGCUGAGUGCCUUCGGGAGCUCUGAGACAGGUGCUGCAUGGCUGUCGUCAGCUCGUGUUGUGAAAUGUUGGGUUAAGUCCCGCAACGAGCGCAACCCUUAUCCUUUGUUGCCAGCGAUUCGGUCGGGAACUCAAAGGAGACUGCCGGUGAUAAACCGGAGGAAGGUGGGGAUGACGUCAAGUCAUCAUGGCCCUUACGAGUAGGGCUACACACGUGCUACAAUGGCGUAUACAAAGAGAAGCGAGCCUGCGAGGGGAAGCGGACCUGAUAAAGUACGUCGUAGUCCGGAUUGGAGUCUGCAACUCGACUCCAUGAAGUCGGAAUCGCUAGUAAUCGUAUAUCAGAAUGCUACGGUGAAUACGUUCCCGGGCCUUGUACACACC